rnacentral:rRNA from 1 species
ACUCCUACGGGAGGGCAGCAGUAGGGAAGUCUUCCACAAUGGGCGCGAAGCCUGAUGGAGCAACACCGCGUGAGUGAAGAAGGGUUCGGCUCGUAAAGCUCUGUUGUUAAAGAAGAACACGUAUGAGAGUAACUGUUCAUACGUUGACGGUAUUUAACCAGAAAGUCACGGCUAACUACGUGCCAGCAGCCGCGGUAAUACGUAGGUGGCAAGCGUUAUCCGGAUUUAUUGGGCGUAAAGAGAGUGCAGGCGGUUUUCUAAGUCUGAUGUGAAAGCCUUCGGCUUAGCCGGAGAAGUGCAUCGGAAACUGGAUAACUUGAGUGCAGAAGAGGGUAGUGGAACUCCAUGUGUAGCGGUGGAAUGCGUAGAUAUAUGGAAGAACACCAGUGGCGAAGGCGGCUACCUGGUCUGCAACUGACGCUGAGACUCGAAAGCAUGGGUAGCGAACA